rnacentral:rRNA from 1 species
CAGUCGCCGCGGGAAUACGGAGGGCGCGAGCGUUACCCGGAUUUACUGGGCGUAAAGGGCGUGUAGGCGGCCUGGGGCGUCCCAUGUGAAAGGCCACGGCUCAACCGUGGAGGAGCGUGGGAUACGCUCAGGCUAGAGGGUGGGAGAGGGUGGUGGAAUUCCCGGAGUAGCGGUGAAAUGCGCAGAUACCGGGAGGAACGCCGAUGGCGAAGGCAGCCACCUGGUCCACUUCUGACGCUGAGGCGCGAAAGCGUGGGGAGCAAACCGGAUUAGAUACCCGCGUAGUCCCUGUCUCUUAUCC